rnacentral:misc_RNA from 1 species
GAUGAAGAACGCAGCGAAAUGCGAUAAGUAAUGUGAAUUGCAGAAUUCAGUGAAUCAUCGAAUCUUUGAACGCACAUUGCGCCCGCUAGUAUUCUGGCGGGCAUGCCUGUCCGAGCGUCAUUUCAACCCUCAAGCCCCCGGGCUUGGUGUUGGGGAUCGGCGAGCCUCCGCGCCCGCCGUCCCCUAAAUCUAGUGGCGGUCUCGCUGUAGCUUCCUCUGCGUAGUAGCACACCUCGCACUGGGAAACAGCGCGGCCACGCCGUUAAACCCCCAACUUCUGAAUGUUUGACCUCGGAUCAGGUAGGAAUACCCGCUGAACUUAAGCAUAUCAAUAAGCGGAGGA